rnacentral:rRNA from 1 species
GAUGAACGCUGGCGGCGUGCCUAAUACAUGCAAGUCGAGCGAACAGACGAGGAGCUUGCUCCUCUGACGUUAGCGGCGGACGGGUGAGUAACACGUGGAUAACCUACCUAUAAGACUGGGAUAACUUCGGGAAACCGGAGCUAAUACCGGAUAAUAUAUUGAACCGCAUGGUUCAAUAGUGAAAGACGGUUUUGCUGUCACUUAUAGAUGGAUCCGCGCCGCAUUAGCUAGUUGGUAAGGUAACGGCUUACCAAGGCAACGAUGCGUAGCCGACCUGAGAGGGUGAUCGGCCACACUGGAACUGAGACACGGUCCAGACUCCUACGGGAGGCAGCAGUAGGGAAUCUUCCGCAAUGGGCGAAAGCUUGACGGAGCAACGCCGCGUGAGUGAUGAAGGUCUUCGGAUCGUAAAACUCUGUUAUUAGGGAAGAACAAAUGUGUAAGUAACUAUGCACGUCUUGACGGUACCUAAUCAGAAAGCCACGGCUAACAACGUG